rnacentral:rRNA from 1 species
UACGAAGGGUGCAAGCGUUACUCGGAAUUACUGGGCGUAAAGCGUGCGUAGGUGGUUUGUUAAGUCUGCUGUGAAAGCCCCGGGCUCAACUUGGGAAUGGCAUUGGAAACUGGCGGGCUGGAGUGUGGCAGAGGGGGGUGGAAUUCCACGUGUAGCAGUGAAAUGCGUAGAGAUGUGGAGGAACACCGAUGGCGAAGGCAGCCCCCUGGGCCAACACUGACGCUCAGGCACGAAAGCGUGGGGAGCAAACAGG